GUAGAUGUUAGCUCAGUAGUUAGAGCACUCGAUUGUUAAUCUCGAGGUCUGUUGUUCAAGCCCGCGUCUACU
rnacentral:tRNA from 1 species